ACACACUCACGCACCUCGGAUUGAGCUUAGGGCAAGAACACGACGAAAAUGCAGGGAAAAGGCUGGGAUUUUUGGGGGCAGCUCUAUCCACUUGUACGGUGUCGUAUUGGGAGUGUGUAUAGAUACGGAAACUGCUCUUGGCCCUGAGUGGUGAGGGAUAACGUGCGCCGAGGGGGCGGACGGAGUGGACUCGUCACGUGCGGUUACCUUCUGUACAAUUCCAUGUUUUUAUUUAUUUAUAAAUAAUCGGAUCUUCCUCUGAGUUGUUUGGAUCUUUCUUUUUACCUCUUUUACGAUGUAAAACUUUUUGGCGGUGAAAAGGU